AAAUUGAAGAGUUUGAUCAUGGCUCAGAUUGAACGCUGGCGGCAGGCCUAACACAUGCAAGUCGAACGGUAACAGGAAGCAGCUUGCUGCUUUGCUGACGAGUGGCGGACGGGUGAGUAAUGUCUGGGAAACUGCCUGAUGGAGGGGGAUAACUACUGGAAACGGUGGCUAAUACCGCAUAACGUCGCAAGACCAAAGAGGGGGACCUUCGGGCCUCUUGCCAUCAGAUGUGCCCAGAUGGGAUUAGCUUGUUGGUGAGGUAACGGCUCACCAAGGCGACGAUCCCUAGCUGGUCUGAGAGGAUGACCAGCCACACUGGAACUGAGACACGGUCCAGACUCCUACGGGAGGCAGCAGUGGGGAAUAUUGCACAAUGGGCGCAAGCCUGAUGCAGCCAUGCCGCGUGUAUGAAGAAGGCCUUCGGGUUGUAAAGUACUUUCAGCGGGGAGGAAGGUGUUGUGGUUAAUAACCGCAGCAAUUGACGUUACCCGCAGAAGAAGCACCGGCUAACUCCGUGCCAGCAGCCGCGGUAAUACGGAGGGUGCAAGCGUUAAUCGGAAUUACUGGGCGUAAAGCGCACGCAGGCGGUCUGUCAAGUCGGAUGUGAAAUCCCCGGGCUCAACCUGGGAACUGCAUUCGAAACUGGCAGGCUUGAGUCUUGUAGAGGGGGGUAGAAUUCCAGGUGUAGCGGUGAAAUGCGUAGAGAUCUGGAGGAAUACCGGUGGCGAAGGCGGCCCCCUGGACAAAGACUGACGCUCAGGUGCGAAAGCGUGGGGAGCAAACAGGAUUAGAUACCCUGGUAGUCCACGCCGUAAACGAUGUCUACUUGGAGGUUGUGCCCUUGAGGCGUGGCUUCCGGAGCUAACGCGUUAAGUAGACCGCCUGGGGAGUACGGCCGCAAGGUUAAAACUCAAAUGAAUUGACGGGGGCCCGCACAAGCGGUGGAGCAUGUGGUUUAAUUCGAUGCAACGCGAAGAACCUUACCUGGUCUUGACAUCCACAGAACUUUCCAGAGAUGGAUUGGUGCCUUCGGGAACCGUGAGACAGGUGCUGCAUGGCUGUCGUCAGCUCGUGUUGUGAAAUGUUGGGUUAAGUCCCGCAACGAGCGCAACCCUUAUCCUUUGUUGCCAGCGGUCCGGCCGGGAACUCAAAGGAGACUGCCAGUGAUAAACUGGAGGAAGGUGGGGAUGACGUCAAGUCAUCAUGGCCCUUACGACCAGGGCUACACACGUGCUACAAUGGCGCAUACAAAGAGAAGCGACCUCGCGAGAGCAAGCGGACCUCAUAAAGUGCGUCGUAGUCCGGAUUGGAGUCUGCAACUCGACUCCAUGAAGUCGGAAUCGCUAGUAAUCGUGGAUCAGAAUGCCACGGUGAAUACGUUCCCGGGCCUUGUACACACCGCCCGUCACACCAUGGGAGUGGGUUGCAAAAGAAGUAGGUAGCUUAACCUUCGGGAGGGCGCUUACCACUUUGUGAUUCAUGACUGGGGUGAAGUCGUAACAAGGUAACCGUAGGGGAACCUGCGGUUGGAUCACCUCCUUACCU
rnacentral:rRNA from 1 species